ACUAGGCAACCCACCCCCAGAUGUAUAAUUUAAAGGUGAUGUGCUUGCACUGGGAUCUUCAGGAUCUGCUCAAUACAGCAACACCAUGUGAUAACUGGGAUAAGGUGGAGUUCAGCUUUAAGGGGGUGUCUCCAGCUCUCCUCACCCAUCUUUAGGAUCAGAGCUGGAGGAAUACCAGUGGAUGUUUUCCACAUCGCCUGGCUCCUUGUUCUCCAUCCACUCUUCUGCUCAAACCCUGACCAAAUAAAGGAACGGGGGGAGAUAAGAUCAGUUACAAGAUUGUACAAGGUUAUCAAGGAAACGAAGUGACAGCUUUUGGUGGGAUCCCGCUGCUUGAGUGAUGAGAACAUUUUGAGCUUCUGAAACCAUUCGGAAGAAACUCAGUGCAGUCGAGACCAAUGCAGGGCAUGGACGCAAGUUUCAACAAUAUGAACACAUCAUUUCUUUCCUCUGCUGGGAAUCAGUCCAUCCAUCUGAACUUUUCAGAGAAGAAUUCCAGAAUCAUACACUUCCAAGAUGAAGAUUGCCACAUGCCGUUGGCCCUGGUCUUCACCUUGGCUCUUGUUUAUGGGGCUGUGAUCAUUCUUGGCGUCUCUGGAAAUCUGGCCUUAAUUAUCAUCAUCUUAAAACAGAAGGAGAUGCGCAAUGUUACCAACAUCCUUAUUGUCAACCUUUCCUUCUCAGACCUUCUAAUGACCAUCAUGUGUCUCCCCUUCACCUUUGUAUACACUUUAAUGGACCACUGGAUUUUCGGGGAGGCCAUGUGCAAGCUGAAUCCUUUUGUGCAGUGUGUCUCAAUCACAGUCUCGGUUUUCUCUUUGGUCCUCAUCGCGAUUGAACGCCAUCAGCUGAUCAUCAACCCUAGAGGAUGGAGGCCGAAUAACAGACAUGCCUACCUAGGGGUUGCUGCCAUCUGGAUUCUAGCCGUGGCUUCCUCCUUGCCUUUCCUGGUUUAUCAUGUAUUAACUGAUGAACCCUUCAAAAAUAUAACAAUUGAUGAAUAUAAAGACAAAUAUGUGUGCUUGGACUUGUUCCCUUUGGACACUAUCAGGCUUUCUUAUACCACAGCUCUGUUGGUGAUACAGUACUUUGGACCACUUUGUUUUAUAUUUAUUUGCUACUUAAAGAUAUACAUACGCUUAAAACGAAGGAACAACAUGAUGGACAAGAUGCGAGAUAAUAAAUACAGAUCCACUGAAACCAAAAGGAUCAACAUCAUGCUGAUCUCUAUUGUGGUUGCAUUUGCAGUCUGCUGGCUACCUCUUACCAUUUUUAAUAUUGUGUUUGACUGGAAUCAUGAAAUUCUGCCCGCUGCCACCUGCAGCCACAAUGUAUUGUUCUUGAUUUGUCACCUCACAGCCAUGAUCUCUACCUGUGUGAACCCUAUCUUUUAUGGAUUCCUCAACAAGAACUUCCAGAGGGACUUGCAGUUUUUCUUUCAUUUUUGUGAUAUUCGCUCCAGGGAUGAUGAUUAUGAGACUAUAGCCAUGUCCACCAUGCAAACAGAUAUUUCAAAGACCUCUUUGAAGCAAGCAAGCCCAGUAGCAUUUAAAAAAAUAAAUAAUGAUUAUGAUGAAAAAAUAUAACCCCCCCACAUCCAACCCAAAGUGUUGUCAGUGUGGUCACAGGUGAUAUGGGCCCAAGGAAAAGCACAAAUUUGUAACAAAAUGGAUUUCCUUCCCUGUACUGCUACUUCCCUCAUCCUGUACCAGCCAAGUUCCCUUGUAUGAGAGCCAUUCAUCCAAGAACUUCCAUGAAGUGACAUUGUGGGACAUAUGCUGAAGAUGCCAUGGAAGAUGAAUAUCAGCUAAUUCAAGUUCAGGAUGUAUGAUCAGCUUCUAGUAGAAAUGAUCAACUUCUAUAUAAAAUGUCAACAUUUUAAGUAAAAUAAAUUACCCACCCACAACUAACUUGCCAUUGCACCUCUUGUUCUAACAUCAGUUUUUUUUAAAAGAAGAAAAUUCUUGAUAAAUAUUGACCCUGUUUAUAACCAGCGUUUUUAGUAGGAAUGAAUUCUACCAGCAAAGUCUGGAUCUUGACCUGUAUCUAGACCCCAAUUCAGCAAAACGUUUGGGCACAUGCUUUAAUCCAGCCCUGUUCAGUAAUGCCCUGAUUCAGGAAAUCGCUCUAACUGAGGUCAAUGGGACUUAAGCACAUGCUUAAAGUUAAAGAUUUUCUUAACUGCUUUGCUGAAUAGGAAUGGACUACUGAAUCAGGGCCCCAGAUCUGUCCCAAAUAUCAGAAGGAUUUGCUUCUUAGGUUUAGUUUCAGCCUUUUAUACAGGUAAGUUCAAGUCAUAAACUUUGGAUCUAGAGUUGGAUCUGGAGUCCAAAGCCUGAGGAUGUUUUGAUCCAUGGCUUUUCUUCAGGUCCUUUUCUAGUUUUUAGCAGUAGAGACUCUAACCAACUGGUUUGCGGUGAAUGGAAGAAAUAAGAAAUAUAGAUUUUACCUUUCUCAUUUUUACAGCAUAUAUUACAGUACAGAACGUGCUCUCAGAUAACACCUCUGAUUUAUGCAGUUGAAAGGAAUUUGACUGGAUGGAGGGGGUGUAGAGGGAGGAGAUGCUAAAUUAUACUCAAAUGAUAAGUUGCAUUGACAGUCUUUUUCUCGGCUAAAGGAUAUAGAUCAAAAUCAUGACUGAUCUACCAUGUUCUUUUCAUGUCUAAAUUAUUUGAUAUUCAGUAUUUGCCUCUCUAAGGUGAAAAGACAAGUACCUGAGUCAUUACCAGUGUGUGUUUGAAAGGAAGAUAUGUUCUUUUUUGCAUCAGUUUUACUGAAGUCCAAAUGUUUUGGGAUGUCAUGUAAUUUAAAAAAGGAAAAAACUAUAACCAACUCACAUCUUUUAUGCUCUAAUUUGCCUGUUGCUGAUGCUGAUACAUAUUAAAUGACAUUUUUGUUAAAAAAUAGCACUAGUGGUCUUAUGUAAGCUAAAAAAUUAAAGAAGGUACAGGGUUAAGGCUGUCAAUAUGUUGCACUUAAGUUCUGUUCUGGGAAGGGAUGCUUUCCUGAAUGGGCCUUAUACUGUGUCAUGUGUUUGUAAAACCCAGGCAUGGCAGGAUCAGUUCAGCACAGAGAAUUCCUGUUUAUCACAACAAAUUGUACUCCACAGUUCACCCUUUAUUUUCCAUGUGCAUAUCAGGCUAUGGGCAGAUUUCACAGAUCCACACUGCCCUCAGAAAUGUAUGCCAGAUAUGUCUGUUUCAGAUUGUUGCAUGCGUGUAAUUUACGCUGAAAUCUCCAAUGUCCAAUCAGUCUACCACUAAUUUUGGAGAUCUUCAAACAAGAACAGGUAUGUCUGACAUAACAUACAUUUUGAAAGACAGAAAGAAGAAAAACAGCAGAACAACAGUUAAUCAUUAAUUAUUGCAUUUUUUGAAAUAUGUAUAUGAAGAUUUGAGGGCAGAAUCAAGCACUAAUUGAGGCCAGCAAGCUGUCAUAUAAAUGGUUGGUGGGGCAUUGGAAAGCAUGCCCAAGCAGUGACCUCUAACAAUUACAUUUCUCUGUUACACCAUUUAAAAAAAGAGAGAGAUCCUCACAACUGCCAGGCAAGACAACUGAUAACCUGUUACGACUUUCCAUCUCAGGUUUACCUGGAUCUCAUUACCAAGGCCAAAGAAAAAAACCAUUUUGGCAUUAGCAGAAAAGUAUAUUCUACAGUGCAGCCCUUGACACUGGCAAAACAUUGAGUUCAGUUUCUUUCACUUCUACAGGGUGAGGGCAAACUAUUUUAUGGCAGGAGCAGAGCCCUGGCCACCUUAAAUCUCCCUUGUUCUUAUUCUCACUGGUGUGGUGUAGCUCUUUUUUACUUUUAUUGCUGAUGUCUGUGAAAAGGUGUUUCUUGGAGGAGCCUCAGGUUUCUGUGUUGAGUAUUCCUUAUGCCACAAGUGUUUCAAUAUAUUGACCCUGAGGUUGGUUGUUUCUGUGGAAAUGCUAUUGGGGGUUUGAUGGCUGAAUCUCAUUUUGGAGACAAAAUGUAUCUACUAACAUGUUCCAUUCUCUUCCUCGUUUUAUUUUAAGAUUCUUUACAUGUGGUCUUUUGCUUUAUAAAUCUUUCACCUAAUGGAGAAGCUUGUAUACUUAUGUGGGGUAGAAAGGGGUAAUUUUAAAUUGUUGCAAGCCAAGUAGUUUUACUUUAAAAAAUACUAAAACUAUUUAGUCCAGAGAAACAAGAAAUGGCCAGCUCUUAGUACGUGUUUCUCUUACUGCCAAACCAGGAAAACCAAAAUAAAAAGAUGAAAUAAUUAAUAAAGGUUAUUUAUAAAACUAUCUCAGAGAUGUGAGUCCCACUACUUUAGUCACAGAAAUUCUUUUGCAUACCUUAGGGGACAUCAUGAUAUGCAACAUAACCACACUUAUUAACCAUGCUAUUUAUUAUUAAAGAAAAGAAAAGAAACCAUUAAACAAUACAAAACAAAUUACAGAACACAACUGAUAAACUGGUUACUUCUGUUACAAUCUCUUCUAUAUGCCUCUUUGUAGAGAACUUUUAGAAGAGAUUUCACAUUUAAAAGUGAAAUCAGGAUGUACUUCAUUUGGUAAAUUAAGACCAAAGUAUAUUGUUUCCCAAAGUUAUUGUCAAUUUAGUCUUAGUUUCUUACUAGAUACUUAAAAUUGUUUAUGUAUGGACAAAAUAAUGUGUUUAAGGGCCGGUGAUACCUGUCUUGUUGUUAUUAACAACCAGCCAGUUUAUAAUUGGGCAAAAUAAACAAUCUUAUGAAAUCUAAGAAAAUACUUAAAUCAGUUACUUAGAGGAAGCCAUUUAAGGAUCUUCAAGACAAGCCAAUUAUGAGUAUUAAGAAACUUAAAUCUGCAAUUUCUGGGUUUGCCAAUGGUUAGCCCCUGUCUCCUCUCCAGGAAUACAUAGUGUAACCAUGUGUUGAUUAACAGGAGAAACUGUUAAUAUUUUAAGUUACAACAGAAUUUCCAUAGCUAAACAAAAUGAUUACAAGAGUUUUAAAAUCUAAUCCAGUGUUUUAGUUAAUUUUCUUUCACCAAUCCAUGUUAAAGUUUUGGGGCGCUUUUCCUAGAAUUGGUUUCUUCUUUAGUCCUCUCUGUUCUUGUUAGGUCUCUGUAGUAGCUUGCUUGUAGAGAUGGACAGGAUGACUUGUGGCAUGCUUGCUGUUAAGCAGGGUAGCAGAGGGUGUGUGUGUGUGGAGGUACCCACUUCAGAGUUUUAUACCAUUCUACUUCCUAUUCGCUUGAAAUUAUAGAAAAGCCACUUUCAGGUUUGUUUAGACUCCAAGCUGAUUUCUGUUCAUUGGCUCAGUACUUUCAUAGGUUAUUCUUAAAAGCCUCUUUAUCUUAUGAAUAUAUAAUUUAUUAAUGCAUGUAUGCAUUGGGAUUGUAAUUCUUUCUUGGCAGUUAUAGUUCCUUUGUCUUUGUGGUGGGAGAUUCUCAGACAUCUUUAAGUUUAGAGUUUUAACUCUUUUUUUAUGCAGUCCAUUUUCUGAGAUAUUCCUUCUAAAUUUAAACUUAAAACUUAUGGUUCUUAAAACUGUUUUUUCAAAAAUGCAAUGAUUUUUAGAGUGUGUUUAUCUUAAAUAGCUUUUAAAGAAGUUGUUGAGUCUUCAUAACAAUUUUUGAGAGAUUAUUCUUCUUGUUUUCCUAAUAUGGCUUGAGCACUGCCAAUAAUUAAAUCCCCAUUAAAAUAAAUAUUCAAUACCUGAAUGGCUUCUUACAUUACUAAUUGGUUUAGCAAGAUCGUUAGAUUACAUGCUGGUCCUGUGAUACUGAGGCCUAUUGGUUCACUACUCUGUGUCAGCAACUUCUAUCAGGCCUGACAAACUCACUGGACCUAACAUGUUGCUGUCAUAGUAUUUAUCUAUAAAGACUGUCUUGUAAGGUAUUUAAUGAAAGCUGGUAAUAUCCUGGUCACUCAUAUCAUUGUGAAAUGUGUGUAUUAACAUUAUAUGAGAAAUUAAGGAUACUCACUGAUAUUAUGCUUUAAAAUCUGUAACCAAACAAAGAGAGAAUAGGUUUUCUUCCAGACAGGAGGAAAGAUAGUUAUCUCUCUGCCACUAAUAUAAAUGAAGCAUUGUGAAAACAAUACCAAAAGAAGCCCCAUUUGAAAGUAAGUCAUCAGGAAAAGCCAGGUUGACUGGGGAUGUGAAACCAUCAUGAGAAACUAAGGCCACAAGAGGGUGUCUUGUCUCUGGGGUCAAAACAAUGAUUUUUGGGGAACUGUAAGCACAAAAGAUAUUUUGUUAUCCAUCUUUGAGGGAACAAAGAGAUCAGUGGUCUUUGCAUCCAUGAAAGCUGGAUCCUGGCCCAGGGAGGCCUUGUGAUUCUGAGAGGAGGCUUUAGGUGAGAAAACCACCCUAGACAAAGAUUGUAGCCUGUAAAGUUGUAGCCUCUAGAAAUCAUAUUAUACUUUUAUUUUAUUUAUGACAAUUUUCUGAUUUUUUUAACUUUGCUUAGUAUCACUUGAAUCUCUAUUCUUUAUUAAUACGUUUAGUCCUGGUUUUAUUUUAAGUUCAUCUCAGUGCAAUAUAUAAUAGUAAAGUGUGCUGAGCUAACAGGCUGGUGUCUAAACUGCCUCUCUGGAGACAGCAGUCUUUGUAAUUUCUGUGAGUGUCCAGUGAGAGGGGCAAAGUGUGGGCUGGCAGAAUUCUAAGCAGUUUGUUUGGCCGGUUAACUAACUGGGAUGGCAGGGAGCUGACACUUAGUUUAGCACCAGCAAAUCUCUCUUUUGCUGAGGCAGAUAGGUAACAAUGUGACUUACAGUUCUGGACACCCCAGGAAAGCGUCACUAGUACAUAAAGCAUUUUACCAUUUACAUAGGAAUGAUGUUAGGAAAUUAUGUUAGGUGCUUUGCCUUUAGGUAAAAUACUUGCAUAUAUGCCAUUCAAAAUGAUUUUCCAUUUCAACAUUGGAAAUAAACAAAAGUUUAAAACAUUUGCAACUACAUAUGUUUUUCCUAGAGGCUUUUCUGAAUGCUGUUUUUAGAAUUAUUAUAAAAUUCAUUUUCAGUAAGAUAUUUCUAGAAUUCUCUGUGAAUGUUUACUUAGAAUUUGUUCUUGGGAGGGUGAAAAAGCCAACUUUACAUGAAGAUUUACUGCUUUGUUAACCCAACCUUACGUUCUUUUUCAUGUCAGAUCUUUUUGUAAAGCAUGAAUGUUUUACAUGGUUUGUAUUCUUGAGAUAAGGACUACAUUUGUACCAAACUGGUAUUUAUACAAGAGUGAGGUAUCCUAGUCUAGAUAAGACACUCUAAGGGUAAUAAACAUGGUUUUAUGGCUAAUGAGGGAUAUCUGCUUGACAUUUGACUUGUCUUUGGGUGAUAGUGGGACAGAUUUCUGUUACCAAUCUGCCUGAUGCGUCAGGUGAUCAGGCUGAGGCCACAGGAUUGUUAAUGGAGGAGAUGACGGAACACAUCAAGUGUCUAAGUUUUAAAGCUUUAUUGAUAAAAUAAUAAAAUAACAGCGGAGAGUGAUGGGUGCUCCCCACACCAUCAGAGGAAGGAAGAAAGCAUUAGUGCCCCAAGCCCUAACCCACUUUCAUACUCACACCCGCACUACAUGAGGCUGGCCAGACCUGGGUGUAACAUAAGAAGAAGAGGGAGAAGGGUGGACGGGAGUUCUGUCAUGUGUGCACAGGUCGUCCAGGGUCCGCUGUGAUCUCCAAAUUGCUUCAGCUCUCAGGAGGGUUUUAAGUCCUGGGCUCCUUUGGGGCUGUUCCAUUCCAUGACUUCUGUUCCUGGUGCUUUUUGUGCCAAUCCAAACUGGCUUUCUGUGGUCUUCUCCGCUUUCCCAAAACACAACAGCUCCAGGGACGCGAAGCUCUGCUACCCCCCUCAUUGUUUCGCCGGUGUUUUCCAUCUCUGCAGCCCUGGUUCAGUGUACUUUUUCUUUUCUCAUGGCUGGCUGUGGCUGGGUGAGAUAAUUUUUCAUCUAGCGCCGUGACCUUGGACUGGGGCCAGUGUCUUAUUGUUGGACUGAGCUUGCUAGCUGCAGUGUUGAGUUAACCUGUUCUCUGCUCUCUUUCUCCUUCCCCCUUUGGCCUUUUGCAGCCUGCAAAAGUAUCUUCCACUCCCCACUUACACCUUUGACCCUUCCCAAAUUGCCCUGCGAUGCUUGCAACAGCGUUAGCAAUAUACAACACAUAUACAAUGCUGAUCUGCUUCCCCCAGGGGACCCCUUGGUGGUGGUGGUGGUGGUGGGGGCUCGGGUGUGACAAUAGAAGCAGAGAGCACCUGGAAUUUCUUUGAUUAGCUUGAACAUUUUGUAAUAUAACUAGCUAAACAUAACAUGCAUUGUUAUAUUUCAAACAUCCUGGCUCUAACGUACUUGUAGCUAUAUCUUAAUAUUUGGUGAAGACACAGACAAAUUUGUGAUGAGAUAACAUCAAAAACAAAAGUAAGGUAAUAGUUUUAUUAAUAUCAUUUUCCCAUCAGUAUUGAAGUCUCUCCCUCAUACUCACCUAUAGUUGUAUGUAUGUAUUAUAUUUUGUUGUUUGUAGUAUCCUCAGAUAUUUGACAAUAAAAGUUCUUUCCUAUAUUUUUUCUAGAUUUAGCAAAUGCUAUAUUUCAAUAAUGCCAUUGCUGGAAAAGUCCAGUCUGCCUUUUGUUUACCCUGUUGGGUAUGUCUACACUGCAAUAUAAGCCCAGAGUUAGUGGGACUCAAGUGAACUGACCCAUGUUAGGGAACCUUGAGCUUAAGUGUCUACAUUGUAUUUUAACCCUAGAUUAAGAAUUUUCUGACCCAUGAUUGAACCUAGGGCUCUGGCCUCCACACUGCAGAGCACAAACCUGACUCAAAGUAACCAUAUCACAGAGACCCUAGCACACACCCCCAAAAUGUGGCCGCUCUAGCUCUAGGAGCAUGGUACAAUGUGGGAAAACUUCAUUGCUCACCCUGCACGUUACCAGGAAGCAACUCACUUUGCAAAAGGCUUGAUCAGUUCACUCUCCAUUGCAAACCCAGGAGGCUUUCUAAUACUUUGAUUGCAGAUUGGUGAUCAAAACAGAAUGGGUUAAUGCUGACCUGAUCUGCUGCCUUUUGCCCAGGGGGUGAGGGGACUUCUGUUUUCAGGAGAGUGGAUUGCAGACUGUCGUGAUAAAGAGGACUAAGGAAGUUCUCCCAUGGAAUUGUGGGAUAGUCCUGGAUGACUCUUGGGAUCUGAGUCAAGUGGGGUUGUAGCAAAACUGCAGAGAAAUAGGACUUGGACACUGGGUCCUGGUUUGAUUUAAGGUCAGACCCUCCAGCCCUCUAGGGCUGUGGGACCCUGGGUCCGAGCCCUGGGUUAGUGCAUGGGCUCAAGCAUGGGCUUACAUUGCAGUGUAGACAGUUUCUGCAUUAGCAUUGUCAUUGCAGUCUGCAGGAGUGCGUAUUGAGACCCUAAUCCAGCAAGAUACUUCAGUAUCUACCUAACUUUCAGCAUGAGUGGUCCCAUUGACUUCAGUUUACUCUAUUCAUCUGCGUACAGUUAGGUAGAAGCAAAAGUACCUGGCUGAACCGGGGCCUUAGAGCCUGAUCAAAAGCCCAGUGAGGUCAAUAGAAAGAGUCCUAUUGACUUAAAUGGGCUUUAAAUCAGGACCUUAUUUCAAGCUUUCUCUUUCCUCACCCCCACUCCAAAUUAGAUAUGUUUAUUACUGCUGUCCUUCGCUCACGGAAGCAGAAAAUAUAAUGGAUUCCCCAGUGUCCCUUAGUACUGUGCAUUUUUCUUAAUGCAACUUUAAGCCAAAUGCAUCUGCCAAAACUGUCUGGCUUGCUGAUUUUAACUAGGUUACUGCAGUGAAAAAUUGGAAGAAAUGCACUGGCAUUGCUGAGUGUAUUUUUGGUUCCUGACAGGUGUACACAUUUACAAUUUUUUCAUUACCAAGAGUGUGUGUUUAUUAAUUAUUAUUAUUGCUAUUAUUGCUGCUAUUUUGUUAUAAUCAUUAUUAUUAUUAUUAUCUUCCAGAGCUGAAUGAUUUGCAUUUCAAAUUCACCCCGCACUGUAAGAAAUAUCAGUUUGUGGCAGGAAUUGUAGAUUUUUCUAAUAACAAUGCUUCCCAUAAAGCAAUCUUCAGCAGUCAAAGAAUAGCAACAAUGUGAUGACAAAUGUUGGCCUCCAAAGUAAUAUCUUUAAAAUUAAGUAUGGACAAUAUUAGAUUAAACAUAUGAUAAUUCAGUUUGAAGGGUGACAUUUUUAUUUGGAAAAUUACAGUUUCAAAUAACUCCUUGACUAUGUGAAAUUACAGAGCCUGAAUCUAGCCUCACCCAUAUUGGUUUUACACAAGGACUUCAUUGGAGUUAUUCUUGAUUUAUAUCAGGAACAUAAAUGACAUCAGACUGUAAAUGACAUCAGAAUCAGGCCUGCACUAUUUAUUUUACACUUAUAGGGCUGAAGGCUGGGACUGUUUAAUGUUUUAUCUGUACAGUGUCGGUCAUAAUGUGACUCAGAUCUGGUUAAGGUCUAUAAGUGCUACUGCAACAUAAAUCAAUAAAAAUAUUACUAAUUAUUAAUAAUGAUAAUAAGGAUUCACCAUGGGGUGAAUGCCUGCAGCCUCUUCCUCUUAUUUGUCUUUUUUAUCAGUUCUACUAUGAAAACUGGGCUUAUGCUUCCUACUCUUUCACAGAUCUUUAUUCUACACCUUUUUGCCAGUGUGACUCUUACUCCCUAUUUUUUUCCAGGAACAAAUUUCAAGGCUACCACUGCACCACUCCUGGAAUCCAUUUGGUUGGGGCUAAUUCCGCAUAAGAUUUUUACUUUUACAGUAAUAUACACUAUGUAUCAUAGAUUUCAGAUUCAUUCAGAAGGUUCCAAAAAGACAUUCUAAAGGCCAGAUUCUAAUUUUAUUUAACUUGAUGAAAAUCCAGAAUAACUUUACUGAAGUCCAUAGUGCUACUCCAGAUUUACACUGGCUUAACUAGGAAAAGAGUCUGGUCUCCAAUGUCAUUGGACCAGUUUCGCUUCCCCACUCCACACCCAUCCCUAUGAAAAUCACAUCUAUCUAUUCUUUAACAAAUGUGCUUUUAUGCAUUGCUGACUAUGGCAGAGUGUUACAUUUCUUAUAGCAAUUCAGCCCCAAUAAAAUAUAAUCUUCAUAAAUAGAUAAUGCAGUUCAUGAUCAGGAGUAAUGCACAUUUUGUUGAUGAUCAGCCUCAUAUGGUAAUUUUUAGAUUAACUUGCAUUUGUUCCAAGGGGCAAAAAAUGCAUGUGAUCGUGGUGUUUGCUAUACUCCAGUCUGUUAAAUCUCAGCUUUAUCUACCUCCUGGAUUGCAACUUUCCCUCAAUCUCAUUUCUGAGGCUACUUUCACACAGCCCACCAUCUCUGGAUCCCCACCCCUGAGCUAGCUUGCUAUGAUGCCAUCUUCUCGUCUUUUAAAUCCCAUUUUAAAACUUCUUGCAACCAGGCCAAUUAACUCUUACACCAAAAAGAAAAAAACUAUGACAUGGAUCGUCCUCUCUGACAAUAAACAAACAAACUUGCAAUGUGGAAGGAAGUGCCUGGGAGGAUUUACUUGCAGAGUGUCUCCUGUAUUAUUGUGUCAGAGGGCUAGAUUUUCUACACAGAAAAAUCGGGUGUAUCGUUCUGGAUCUAGGCCAAUGCCAUCCCUGCAGAAGUCCUAUGUCUCUCACCCCCAUGGCUCCAUCAAAGAUGUACUACUGGGAACUUUCCCAGGCUGUGGUGGCCCCUGAGGCACCUGAUGGGGAUAAUACAGUAGUUGUAGUUUUUAUUAUCUUUUCCAGAGAAUUUCUAUGAGAUCAAAAGGAGGACACUGUGUUUUCCCCGAUCCACGUACUUCUCCCUCUGGCUCACUCAGUCCUCUUCCCCUACCCUAGGCUGACCAGACAGAGCACUCUUUGGAGUGGGAGUGUGUUGGCAGAAAGGAGGUGGCUGAUCUCUUGAAUCUGCUUUGGUGGGAGAUAUCUAUGUGCAGAGUUCCCAUAUGUUAAUGGAUGGGAAUGCUGAGAGCAGCAAUAUGACUCAAUAAUAGUUAAAAAUGUGAAACCAAGGUACACACCACACAUCACUUCUUGUUUCAGUUAUUUGCUUUUUCACAUCCCAUUCCUCUCCUACUUACUGACUACUUAGUCUGAAAGUUUCUCGGGGAAGGGAUCUUGCCUCCUUAUGCGGUUGUGUACUUAUCCAGUUGUGUAUUAACAGUAACAUAUUAUAGUGCCUGAAAGUGGGCUUGAAGCACAUGCCUUUCAAUGAGUGGUGUACAAUGGGACAUUACACUUGGUCUUUGGGUGUGAAAAACUAUAGAUGUAUCGUGUGAUGUUGUCCCCAUAAUGCUUUAUACAAAUAUGCUUAUGAGUGUAAAUACGACAUAACUGGAAUAUGUUUUAUAUUAGAUAUGCCAUGUAACAGAUCUUUGCAAAGGUUAUGUUCUACUGAAUUCAUCCUAUUUGUAUGCAUAUAUCAUUUUUAUAUCUGGAGUUACAGGCGUUGACUCUAUGCUUGUAUUUAAAGUGUUUGCUUUAGGAACACCUAAGGCAAAUCUGGUCAAGAUAGUGUGAAGGGGUUAUUCAAGUAAUUGGGAGUACUUGGCUAACAAAGGACCUUGACAGAUGCCUAUCCACAUCUGAGCUUUCCUGGGAACAUUCAAACUAGCAUGUGGACAAUGGCAUCGGCUUGUAAAGAACUGAGUCAUGCAUGGACAUGUGACUUGCCCAUGUGACUCCAAAACUCCAUUUUGUAGCUGUAAUUCUACACAGGGAGAAAGAGGAGUUUCCAUCCAAGAGAGAAACUAUAUAAGCCCCUGGGAAACCCCUCCAUUUUGUCUUCAGCUGGCUCAAGAGAUACCCUCUCCACCCCAAAGAAAUGCCUGAAAGAAACUGGAACAAAGGACAGUAACUACAGGGGUGUGUGUGAUUGCUGGACCCAGACUAGGAGGAAGUCUUGUCUGUCAAAGAAGCUUAUUGGAACAUCUCUGAGGGUGAGAUUUACCUGAGUUUAGUUUCUCACUGUAUUAGGCUUAGACUUGCAUGUUUUAUUUUAUUUUGUUUGGUAAUUUACUUUGUUCUGUCUGUUAUUACUUGGAACCACUUAAAUCCUACUUUUUAUAUUUAAUAAAAUCACUUUUUACUUA